GACGAACGCUGGCGGCGUGCUUAACACAUGCAAGUCGAACGGAGCGCCUAUGACAGAGACUUCGGUCAAUAGAUUAGGUUGCUUAGUGGCGGACUGGUGAGUAACGCGUGAGGAACCUGCCUUUCAGAGGGGGACAACAGUUGGAAACGACUGCUAAUACCGCAUGACGCAUGACUGGGGCAUCCCGGACAUGCCAAAGAUUUAUCGCUGAAAGAUGGCCUCGCGUCUGAUUAGAUAGUUGGUGGGGUAACGGCCUACCAAGUCGACGAUCAGUAGCCGGACUGAGAGGUUGACCGGCCACAUUGGGACUGAGAUACGGCCCAAACUCCUACGGGAGGCAGCAGUGGGGAAUAUUGCACAAUGGGGGGAACCCUGAUGCAGCGACGCCGCGUGAAGGAAGAAGUAUCUCGGUAUGUAAACUUCUAAUCAGCAGGGAAGAUAAUGACGGUACCUGACUAAGAAGCCCCGGCUAACUACGUG
rnacentral:rRNA from 1 species